rnacentral:rRNA from 1 species
GAAACCGUGUGCCUACAAGCAGUCGGAGCUCCUAGGUGUAUCACAUCGAGACAAUCGAAACCAUCUCUUAUGUAUAAAGGGAAGGCGAGUUCGAUAUGUUUAGUACGGUAGCGGGCAUAAAGCCCGCGACCUAACGCAACUGUUUCGAUGUGAUACACCAGAGUGACGGCGUGCCUUUUGUAGAAUGAGCCAGCGAGUUACGGUAUGCGGCGAGGUUAAGUUUUGAAACGAGCCGCAGCGAAAGCGAGUCUUUAAACGGGCGAACUAGUCGCAUGCUGUAGACGCGAAGCCGGGUGAGCUAUCCAUGGGCAGGCUGAAGCGAGGGUAAGACCUUGUGGAGGGCCGAACCCACCUAGGUAUAAAACUGGGGGGAUGACCUGUGGAUAGGAGUGAAAGGCUAAUCAAACCCGGAGAUAUCUCGUUCUCCCCGAAAUAGCUUUAGGGCUAGCCUCGGUCGUUUAGUAUUGGUGGUAGAGCACUGGAUGGUCUAGGGGGCUUCACCGCUUACCGAAACUAACCAAACUCCGAAUGCCAAUACUCCAGAGACCGGGAGUCAGAAUAUGUGGGCUAAGCUGUGUAUUCGAAAGGGAAACAGCCCAGACCGCCUGCUAAGGUCCCUAAAUCCAUGCUAAGUGGCAAAGGAUGUGCGUUUGCCUAGACAACCAGGAUGUUGGCUUAGAAGCAGCCAUUCAUUUAAAGAGUGCGUAACAGCUCACUGGUCAAGUGGACAUGCGCCGACAAUUCACGGGGCUAAGCAUGGUACCGAAGCAGCGGACUUGCGCGUAUGCGCGAGUGGUAGGGGAGCAUUCUGCACGGAUUGAAGCGGGCGGGUAACCGUCCGUGGACUGUUCAGAAGAGAGAAUGCUGGCAUGAGUAACGAGAGCAGAGUGAAAAACUCUGCCGCCGUAAGCCUAAGGGUUCCUGGGCGAGGCUAAUCCUCCCAGGGUCAGUCGGGAGCUAAGGCGAGGCCGCAAGGCGUAGUCGAUGCACAACAGGUAGAUAUUCCUGUACCGCUGAUAGACCGUUAUUACCAAUGGGGUGACGGAGAAGGAUAGCUGGGCGGGGUUCUGGACGUCCCCGUGAAAGCGCGUAGGCUGAUGUGUAGGAAAAUCCGCACAUCUUAAGGCCGAGACGUGACGACGAAGCAAUUAAGUGAAGUCAGUGAUUCCAUGCUUUCAAGAAAAACCUCUAGGAAGGUCUGUCGGUGCCCGUACCAAAACCGACACAGGUAGGCAGGUAGAGCAUACCAAGGCGAUCGGGAGAACUAUGGUUAAGGAACUCGGCAAAAUUACUCCGUAACUUCGGGAGAAGGAGUGCCCUGGCUGGUGAUUGGAUUUACUCCAUGAGCUGGACGGGGCCGCAGUGAAAUGGCCCAAGCGACUGUUUAUCAAAAACACAGGACUCUGCUAAGUCGUAAGACGAUGUAUAGGGUCUGACGCCUGCCCGGUGCUGGAAGGUUACGUGGAGAGGUUAGCGCAAGCGAAGCUUUGAAACUAAGCCCCAGUAAACGGCGGCCGUAACUAUAACGGUCCUAAGGUAGCGAAAUUCCUUGUCGGGUAAGUUCCGACCUGCACGAAUGGCGUAACGACUUGGGCGCUGUC